UACAGAGGUCUCAAGCGUUGUUCGGAUUCAUUGGGCGUAAAGGGUGUGUAGGUGGCGCGCUAAGUCGGGUGUGAAAUUUCGGAGCUUAACUGCGAAACUGCAUUCGAUACUGGCGUGCUUGAGGACUGGAGAGGAGACUGGAAUUCAUGGUGUAGCAGUGAAAUGCGUAGAGAUCAUGAGGAAGACCAGUGGCGAAGGCGGGUCUCUGGACAGUUCCUGACGCUGACACGCGAAAGCUAGGGGAGCGAACGGG
rnacentral:rRNA from 1 species